AUUGAACGCUGGCGGCAUGCCUUACACAUGCAAGUCGAACGGUAACAGGUCUUCGGAUGCUGACGAGUGGCGAACGGGUGAGUAAUACAUCGGAACGUGCCCGAUCGUGGGGGAUAACGAGGCGAAAGCUUUGCUAAUACCGCAUACGAUCUACGGAUGAAAGCGGGGGAACUUCGGACCCCGCGCGGACGGAGCGGCCGAUGGCAGAUUAGGUAGUUGGUGGGAUAAAAGCUUACCAAGCCGACGAUCUGUAGCUGGUCUGAGAGGAUGAUCAGCCACACUGGGACUGAGACACGGCCCAGACUCCUACGGGGGGCAGCAGUGGGGAAUUUUGGACAAUGGGCGAAAGCCUGAUCCAGCCAUGCCGCGUGCAGGAUGAAGGCCUUCGGGUUGUAAACUGCUUUUGUACGGAACGAAAAGCCUCUUUCUAAUAAAGAGGGGUCAUGACGGUACCGUAAGAAUAAGCACCGGCUAACUACGUG
rnacentral:rRNA from 1 species